CCUACGUGAGGCAGCAGUGGGGAAUAUUGGUCAAUGGGCGCAAGCCUGAACCAGCAACGUCGCGUGAAGGAAGAAGGCUCUCGGGUUGGUAACUUCUUUUAAGAGGGAAGCGCAGAAGACGGUACCUCUUGAAUAAGCUCCUGCUAACUACGUGCCAGCAGCCGCGGUAAUAAGUAGGGAGCGAGCGGUGUCCGGAGUUACUGGGGGUAAAGGGCGUGCAGCCGGGUGUACAAUUCAGAUGUGAAAUCCCCCGGCUCAACCGCGGAGCUGCCUUUGAAACUGUAUUUCUUGAGUACUGGAGAGGUAGACGGAAUUCCUAGUGUAGCGGUGAAAUGCGUAGAUAUUAGGAGGAACACCAGUGGCGAAGGCGGUCUGCUGGACACCAACUGACGGUGAGGCACGAAAGCGUGGGGAGCAAACAGGAUUAGAUACCCGGGUAGUC
rnacentral:rRNA from 1 species